CAAGAGCGUAUGUAAAAGUUGUUGCAGUUAAAAAGCUCGUAGUUGAACCUUGGGUUUGGUUGGCCGGUCCGCUUUUUUGCGAGUACUGGAUUCAACCGAGCCUUUCCUUCUGGCUAACCAGUCGUUUCGGCGGCUGGCGAACCAGGAUUUUUACUUUGAGAAAAUUAGAGUGUUCAAAGCAGGCAUUAGCUUGAAUAUAUUAGCAUGGAAUAAUAGAAUAGGACGUUAUGGUUCUAUUUUGUUGGUUUCUAGGACCAUCGUAAUGAUUAAUAGGGACGGUCGGGGGCAUCAGUAUUCAGUUGUCAGAGGUGAAAUGCUUGGAUUUACUGAAGACUAACUACUGCGAAAGCAUUUGCCAAGGACGUUUUCAUUAA
rnacentral:rRNA from 1 species